GUAUUGAGUAUAAUGGCCUCAGGGCGCUUGACUGUUAGACUUACGAGUCGUACCGGUACGGCAGUAGGGCAUAGUGAUCCGGUGGUUCUGUAUGGGGCGGCCAUCGCUCCUCGGAUCGUUGGUACUCCGGGGGUCACCGGCUAGUCUCCCCCCCGAGCUCACAUCGUCGGGGAGGUUCGGCCCCUCGAUGUCGGCUCGUCACUUCCUGGGGCUGGAGGAGGUCCCCCGGGUUGGGCUGUUCGCCCCUUCCAGUGGCCCGCGAGCUGGGUUCAGAACGUCGUGAGACCGUUCGGUCUCUUUCUUUUGCGAGCGUUAGAGGCUUGAGUGGUUCUUACUCUUGUACGGGGGGGCCGGGUUGGGCGACCCUCUGGUAUUUCAGUUGUAUCGCCCGGUGCAAUGCUGAGUAGCUAUGUUCGGAUAAGAUAAGCCCUGAAAGCAUAUUAGUGCGAAACUA
rnacentral:rRNA from 2 species